GUCAAUUGCUGUCACUUUUCUUGUCAAUGUCACUGGACUUGUGGGGAACAUCACAGUAAAUAUCCUGUCUCCAGGCCCAAGUAUAUAUGAAGUUUUUCCAUCCUGGCAGGUGGUUCCCUAUAGAUUGCAUCAGCCUUUGAUUUCUUUUCAGAGGAAGCUCCGGUGCAAUCAUAUGUACAAGGAACCACCGGGGUUAAGGUGGAGUGUGUAUAUACUGGCCUCUUGCACAAGAAGUGGCUUCAGCUUUGCAAUUGUUCUUGGAGCCUUUCUUGACAGGCUUCCAAUAAGAGGUGGGAUUAAAUGAGCAGGGAAAUAAACUUGAAGUUAAAGGGAGGCCUUCAUGGAGAUAAGGCAAAAAGCCCAGUCACCUCUGGCCUCUGCAGUUUGGCUUAUCACCAUGGAACCUUUGCCUCCUCUGAGACCAAGGCAUCACUCCAGUAACAGGAACCCACUGAAGCUUGGAACCCCAAGAAAUGCCACAGCUAUCAGGCCUGAGGACCCCUGUCUGGGCACUGGGGCCUCAUCUACAGUCCCAACUGGGCCUUCUUUUAGGAUUCAUCUUCUGGGCCACAUCUCCCAGGAAGAUCUUGCAUUCCUACUGAAACCCCUGGCCUGGCCUCCUGCAGUGCCACACUCCGUGUAUUUGACAAGCUGA
rnacentral:lncRNA from 1 species